UACGAAGGGUGGUAGCGUUGUUCGGAAUCACUGGGCGUAAAGCGCGCGUAGGCGGCUUCUCAAGUCAGGGGUGAAAUCCUGGGGCUUAACCCCAGAAUUGCCUUUGAAACUGUGGAGCUGGAGUGUUGGAGGGGUUGGCGGAAUUCCUAAUGUAGAGGUGAAAUUCGUAGAUAUUAGGAGGAACACCGGUGGCGAAGGCGGCCAACUGGACAACAACUGACGCUGAGGCGCGAAAGCGUGGGGAUCAAACAGG
rnacentral:rRNA from 1 species